GAUGAAUGCUGGCGGCGUGCCUAACACAUGCAAGUCGAGCGGUAACAGAUCUAGCUUGCUAGAUGCUGACGAGCGGCGGACGGCUGAGUAACGCGUGGGAACAUACCCCAAAGUGAGGGAUAACCGCCCGAAAGGGUGGCUAAUACCGCAUAUGGUCUUCGGAUUAAAGGAUUUAUCCGCUUUGGGAAUGGCCUGCGUACGAUUAGAUAGUUGGUGAGGUAAUGGCUUACCAAGUCUACGAUCGUUAACUGGUUUGAGAGGAUGAUCAGUCAGACUGGAACUGAGACACGGUCCAGACUCCUACGGGAGGCAGCAGUGAGGAAUCUUCCACAAUGGGCGAAAGCCUGAUGGAGCAACGCCGCGUGCAGGAUGAAGGCCUUCGGGUUGUAAACUGCUUUUAUAAGUGAAGAAUAUGACGGUAACUUAUGAAUAAGCACCGGCUAACUACGUGCCAGCCGCCGCGGUA
rnacentral:rRNA from 1 species